rnacentral:rRNA from 1 species
GGGUUGUGAGGUUAAGCGACUAAGCGUACACGGUGGAUGCCCUGGCAGUCAGAGGCGAUGAAGGACGUGCUAAUCUGCGAAAAGCGUCGGUAAGGUGAUAUGAACCGUUACAGCCGGCGAUGUCCGAAUGGGGAAACCCAGUGCAAUUCGUUGCACUAUCGUUAACUGAAUACAUAGGUUAACGAGGCGAACCGGGGGGAACUGAAACAUCUAAGUACCCCGAGGAAAAGAAAUCAACCGAGAUUCCCCCAGUAGCGGCGAGCGAACGGGGAGCAGCCCAGAGUCUGAAUCAGCUUGUGUGUUAGUGGAACGGUCUGGAAAGUCCGACGGUACAGGGUGAUAGUCCCGUACACCAAAAUGCACAGGCUGUGAACUCGAAGAGUAGGGCGGGACACGUGGUAUCCUGUCUGAAUAUGGGGGGACCAUCCUCCAAGGCUAAAUACUCCUGACUGACCGAUAGUGAACCAGUACCGUGAGGGAAAGGCGAAAAGAACCCCGGCGAGGGGAGUGAAAAAGAACCUGAAACCGUGUACGUACAAGCAGUGGGAGCACCUUCGGGUGUGACUGCGUACCUUUUGUAUAAUGGGUCAGCGACUUAUAUUCUGUAGCAAGGUUAACCGUAUAGGGGAGCCGCAGGGAAACCGAGUCUUAACUGGGCGUUAAGUUGCAGGGUAUAGACCCGAAACCCGGUGAUCUAGCCAUGGGCAGGUUGAAGGUUGGGUAACACUAACUGGAGGACCGAACCGACUAAUGUUGAAAAAUUAGCGGAUGACUUGUGGCUGGGGGUGAAAGGCCAAUCAAACCGGGAGAUAGCUGGUUCUCCCCGAAAGCUAUUUAGGUAGCGCCUCGUGAACUCAUCUUCGGGGGUAGAGCACUGUUUCGGCUAGGGGGUCAUCCCGACUUACCAACCCGAUGCAAACUACGAAUACCGAAGAAUGUUAUCACGGGAGACACACGGCGGGUGCUAACGUCCGUCGUGAAGAGGGAAACAACCCAGACCGCCAGCUAAGGUCCCAAAGUCAUGGUUAAGUGGGAAACGAUGUGGGAAGGCACAGACAGCCAGGAUGUUGGCUUAGAAGCAGCCAUCAUUUAAAGAAAGCGUAAUAGCUCACUGGUCGAGUCGGCCUGCGCGGAAGAUGUAACGGGGCUAAACCAUGCACCGAAGCUGCGGCAGCGACACUAUGUGUUGUUGGGUAGGGGAGCGUUCUGUAAGCCUGCGAAGGUGUGCUGUGAGGCAUGCUGGAGGUAUCAGAAGUGCGAAUGCUGACAUAAGUAACGAUAAAGCGGGUGAAAAGCCCGCUCGCCGGAAGACCAAGGGUUCCUGUCCAACGUUAAUCGGGGCAGGGUGAGUCGACCCCUAAGGCGAGGCCGAAAGGCGUAGUCGAUGGGAAACAGGUUAAUAUUCCUGUACUUGGUGUUACUGCGAAGGGGGGACGGAGAAGGCUAUGUUAGCCGGGCGACGGUUGUCCCGGUUUAAGCAUGUAGGCUGGUUAUCCAGGCAAAUCCGGAUAAUCAAGGCUGAGGUGUGAUGACGAGGCACUACGGUGCUGAAGUAACAAAUGCCCUGCUUCCAGGAAAAGCCUCUAAGCAUCAGGUAACAUCAAAUCGUACCCCAAACCGACACAGGUGGUCAGGUAGAGAAUACCAAGGCGCUUGAGAGAACUCGGGUGAAGGAACUAGGCAAAAUGGUGCCGUAACUUCGGGAGAAGGCACGCUGGUGUGUAGGUGAAGUCCCUGCGGAUGGAGCUGAGACCAGUCGAAGAUACCAGCUGGCUGCAACUGUUUAUUAAAAACACAGCACUGUGCAAACACGAAAGUGGACGUAUACGGUGUGACGCCUGCCCGGUGCCGGAAGGUUAAUUGAUGGGGUUAUCCGUAAGGAGAAGCUCUUGAUCGAAGCCCCGGUAAACGGCGGCCGUAACUAUAACGGUCCUAAGGUAGCGAAAUUCCUUGUCGGGUAAGUUCCGACCUGCACGAAUGGCGUAAUGAUGGCCAGGCUGUCUCCACCCGAGACUCAGUGAAAUUGAACUCGCUGUGAAGAUGCAGUGUACCCGCGGCAAGACGGAAAGACCCCGUGAACCUUUACUAUAGCUUGACACUGAACAUUGAGCCUUGAUGUGUAGGAUAGGUGGGAGGCUUUGAAGCGUGGACGCCAGUCUGCGUGGAGCCAACCUUGAAAUACCACCCUUUAAUGUUUGAUGUUCUAACGUUGGCCCUUACCGGGGUUGCGGACAGUGUCUGGUGGGUAGUUUGACUGGGGCGGUCUCCUCCCAAAGCGUAACGGAGGAGCACGAAGGUUAGCUAAUCCUGGUCGGACAUCAGGAGGUUAGUGCAAUGGCAUAAGCUAGCUUGACUGCGAGCGUGACGGCGCGAGCAGGUGCGAAAGCAGGUCAUAGUGAUCCGGUGGUUCUGAAUGGAAGGGCCAUCGCUCAACGGAUAAAAGGUACUCCGGGGAUAACAGGCUGAUACCGCCCAAGAGUUCAUAUCGACGGCGGUGUUUGGCACCUCGAUGUCGGCUCAUCACAUCCUGGGGCUGAAGUAGGUCCCAAGGGUAUGGCUGUUCGCCAUUUAAAGUGGUACGCGAGCUGGGUUUAGAACGUCGUGAGACAGUUCGGUCCCUAUCUGCCGUGGGCGCUGGAGAAUUGAGGGGGGCUGCUCCUAGUACGAGAGGACCGGAGUGGACGCAUCACUGGUGUUCGGGUUGUCAUGCCAAUGGCACUGCCCGGUAGCUAAAUGCGGAAGAGAUAAGUGCUGAAAGCAUCUAAGCACGAAACUUGCCCCGAGAUGAGUUCUCCCUGAGACUUUAAGUCUCCUGAAGGAACGUUAAAGACGAUGACGUUGAUAGGCCGGGUGUGUAAGCGCAGCGAUGCGUUGAGCUAACCGGUACUAAUGAACCGUGAGGCUUAACCUUACAACGCCGAAG